GUGCAGUAAAACACAGAUUCCUGUUGCAUGUGGAAAUGCUUUUUAAAAUUUCCAUAUGAAAAAGAAUUGGCAUCAGCAAACUUAAAAUAUGGAACUGUAAUUUGGUAGUUGCUAUAUGUUAUCACAUAACAACCUGUUAAACUUGUUAUAGAAAAUACAAAAAAUGAUUAAAACCUAAUAUAACACAAUAACAAGCUUAAAGCGUGUAGCUGCAUGUGGUGCAGAGGAUGUUGAGCAUCCAUGUAUUAUCCACAGCCGCAAUCCUCUGACGGAGGAAUCAAAACAGUGUGCUGAUUCAAACUGAAACCAAAAAGUUUGAGUACAUUGAAAAGUAGGUACUGCCCAAAGAUCUCCUUCCAGUGAUGUGAGGUCUAGCAGGCAUGUGCUCAAAAAAUAUAGUUAAGAGGUAUUUUUAUCUUUAAAGAAGCAGCAGUGCUGCCUAAUGUUUUCUGUGGCUAAUCGACUCAUAUAAAGUCCCAGGUGUGAGAAAUGCUACAUGUGAAAGAUAUGUUGAAAUGCUGGUGUAUAAUCUGGCCUAAAUCUACUGUCAGAAAGACUGAAGCAAUCCAGGAGUUCAAUUAACUGUCUUUAAUAAAUUCAUACAGAAAAAAAAGAAUAGCAUUGUGUCUCUGUUGCUUGCCAGCCUUAAUUCGAAUUUUGUGCAGAUAGGAGUGAACGUAUGUAUGUGAUAAUUUGCGUGUGAUUUUCUGAGACACAAACAGAUAAUUCUGUAAUUAGUAAAGUUAUAAAUACUGGCAUGAAUAAUGACAAUACCACCUUCUGCUGGGGUAGGACACUCGGCACAAGGCACAAGCAAUAUCUCACAAUGUCUACAAGAGGUCUUACACGUGAGGUCAAAAUUAGCAACAGUUUUGGAGCAGAACAGUCCUUUUACUUAUUCUUAAUACAGGCUGUAGCACUUGGGCACCUUGUGUAGCAGAGUGAAGUACAAGUAUCUCUAGCUCUCAAGACUACGAUGACCUGGAUUGCUGUGAAACUUCAGUGACUGAAUUGCUGAUUCAUUAUUAGACACUGCUUACAAUGUUCUCACUCAGCACAGGCAGGUAUCUCCUGUUCUUUGGAGACACUAUUGACGUUGUUCUUGACUGAGCAGACCAGACGUCCGGAGACGUGCUGUUUCAGAGUGAUGAUGUUAGUCUCAUUGUUUCCAGGAAGGAGCUCAGCAUCUGUCAGUGUGCGUCCAUCCAGAGUCCAGCUGUACUGAGGACUGUCCCCUCUCUCAGAGGAGCAGGACACCCUCCUCUCUCCCUGGGACAGACACUCAGAGACCAGCAGGACAGAGGACACAGGAGCUGAGAGAAACACACACAGAUGAGUUUAGAUUUAAAACCAGAAUUGUGAAAAUUCUUUACAGUCUCAAAUGAAGAACAGGGAAAGCACAAAAUACAUGUAUCUGAACAUUUUUUAUAUUUAUUGUAUAGAUCAGCAAAACAUUGUUAAAUUUAUAUCUAUUAAUAGCUUAAUUGAGAAGAAAAGGAAAGAAAUUACCUUGAAUAAACAACUGUAAACUCUGCUCGCCUGAUGAUCUGCCAUCUGAAUCAAAGGUUAUAAGGCUAUAAUUACCACUGUCUGUCCUGCUUAGAUCACUGAUUCUAAAUGUUCCAUUACUGGGUAAGAUUAGAGAUUUGUGUGCUAUGGUAUUAUAAAUAGCCUUAUUCCCUCUCACAUCUAGUAUUUUUAAUGAAUCCUUUAACAAGUAGUAUCUAGCUAUUUCAGAGGUGCUGUUCAGUAGCUGGAUGUUCACAGUUCCUCCCAAAGCUCCAUAACACUGAGCUCCAUCCUGUCUGCCAUCACAGUGAGUUUCCAGGGUAUAUUUACCAAUGUCAUUCCUACUCAGGUCAUUGAUCCUAAAUGUUCCAUUACUGGGAAAAAUGAGAGACCUACUCUCUAUGGCAUUAGAAAAAACUGUAUUAUUUCUCGCUGCUAGUAUUUUUAAUGAAUCCUUUAACAACUGGUAUCUAGGUAUUUCAGAAGUGCUAUUCAUCAGCUGAAUGUCCACAGUUCCUCCCAAAGCUCCAUAACACUGAGCUCCAUCCUGUCUGCCAUCACAGUAAGUUUCCA
ensembl:lncRNA